rnacentral:rRNA from 1 species
GACGAACGCUGGCGGCGUGCUUAACACAUGCAAGUCGAGCGAUGAAGUUUCCUCGGAAAUGGAUUAGCGGCGAACGGGUGAGUAACACGUGAGGAAUCUGCCCUUCACUUUGGAAUAACUCCGGGAAACCGGAGCUAAUACCGGAUACGAACUCUGGCGGCAUCGCCGGGGUUGGAACGUUUUUCGGUGAAGGAUGACCUCGCGGCCUAUCAGCUGGUUGGUGAGGUAAUGGCUCACCAAGGCGACGACGGGUAGCCGGCCUGAGAGGGCGACCGGCCACACUGGGACUGAGACACGGCCCAGACCCCUACGGGAGGCAGCAGUGGGGAAUAUUGGGCAAUGGGCGAAAGCCUGACCCAGCGACGCCGCGUGCGGGAUGAAGGCCUUCGGGUUGUAAACCGCUUUCAGCAGGGAAGAAGCGAAAGUGACGGUACCUGAAGAAGAAGCACCGGCUAACUAUGUGCCAGCCGCCGCCGUAA